UCUAAAUAGCAAGCUUGGAAAUUAAAACACAUGAGAAAACAGAAAAACAAACAUAGAGACAAAAGCUUAACAAAACUUGAUAGAGAACCAAGAUAAAUGUCGAAGCAAACUAAUACGAGCAAUCCUAUGAGAGAAAACGCAAUCCACACUUCUCCUGUGACAUUAAGACAAACUUCGAGACGACACAAAUUGCUCUAGACUAAAAGCAACCUAAGGAGAGGCCAUAGAAAGAUAUGGUUAGCAAUCUUCACCAGACUUGGGCGGAGUCCGAACCAAUAGUGGUGGUUCUAAACUGAUAGCAAGCUGGACAUGCUGGAGAAGUAUCCAAUGCAGACAGGAAAGACUAGGAGAAGUAUCAAGUGCUCUGGUAGGUGGAGAAGCAGACCAUGCAGAGAUGAUUUGAGCAGAUCAUAAGGACUCUUAAGUGGACGAGAAACACAAGCUGUCCACUAAGGAAAAACAAGUAAUCCAGGCCCAAGAAGUAUUGCACUAGGCCCACCAACACUUCAAAAUUUGGAGCCUCGUCAUUUUCCCU
rnacentral:lncRNA from 1 species